AAGUCGUAACAAGGUAUCCGUAGGUGAACCUGCGGAUGGAUCAUUAUCACGUAUCCACGUAUCAACCAUUGUGAACUGUCUUUACCUCUGAUGCGAGCAUAAAUUGUAACCAAGUGUUAUGGUAUCUGCUUGUUUCAGUUGUAAUUUUUUUUUAUUGACAACUUAAACCUUAAAUUUAAUAACUUUUGAACUGAUUUAUUUUCAUACUCUUCGGAGAUGAAAUUCAUUACGAAACAAAGAACAACUCUUAGCAACGGAUAUCUUGGUUCUC
rnacentral:misc_RNA from 1 species